CCUACGGGUGGCAGCAGUGGGGAAUAUUGCACAAUGGGGGAAACCCUGAUGCAGCGACGCCGCGUGAGUGAAGAAGGCCUUCGGUAUGUAAAGCUCUAUCAGCAGGGAAGAAAAUGACGGCACCUGAUCAAGAAGCCACGGAUAACUCCGGGACAGCAGCCGCGGUAAGACGGAGGAUGCGAGCGUUAUCCGGAUUGAUGGGGUUAAAAGGGUGCGAAGGCGGUCUGUUAAGUCAGCGGUAAAAGCCCGGGGUUCACCCCCGACCCGCCGUUGAAACUGGCAGUCUCGAGUUGGAGAGAAGUAUGCGGAAUGCGCGGUGUAGCGGUGAAAUGCAUAGAUAUCGCGCAGAACUCCGAUUGCGAAGGCAGCAUGCCGGCUCCACACUGACGCUGAGGCACGAAAGCGUGGGUAUCGAACAGGAUUAGAUACCCCAGUAGUC
rnacentral:rRNA from 1 species